CUCACACGUGCAUAAAUUAAUUUAGAUGUCGUGGUAAAAACCUUGUUGCCAACACAUUCUUUCGUCGAAUUCUCGUUCAAUGCAAGUUAGAUGAUGCAUCCAGUUGGCAGAUAAGCCCCCUGGCUGGGUAAUGGAUGAUGAAAUAGCUGAUUAGUCCCCAUAUGGAUGCCUCUUGAUGUGUGGAGUGAAUACCAGAUUAGUCUCCCUUGGCCUAUACUGGAAAGAACACUGGUGGCAUGUCACAGGUAUAAAAGGUGUGAAAAGUCUCAAACCAGCGACCUUCACUGGGUUUGAAAUCAGGCUAUCCAUGUCCUCUACUGCACCAGCUAUUGGGAUCAAAGAGACUGGG